rnacentral:rRNA from 1 species
GAUGAACGCUGACAGCAUGCUUAACACAUCAGCAACUGAUUGAUGGCGGACGGGUGAGUAACGCGUACAGAACUUGCCUCACAGCUAGGGACAACAUUUGGAAACGAAUGCUAAUACCUAAUACUGUGAGAGAGCUUUGCGUCCCAUUAGCUAGUUGGAGAGGUAACGGCUCACCAAGGCGAGGAUGGGUAGCCGGCCUGAGAGGGUGAUCGGCCACAAGGGGACGGGGACGCGGCCCGUAGUCCUACGGGGGGCAGCAGUGGGGAAUAGUGGACGAUGGGCCACAGUCUGAUGCAGGAAUUCUGUGUGCACGAUGAAGUUUUCGGAAUGUAAAGUGCUUUCAGUUUGGAAGCGGUACCAACAGAAGAAGUGACGGCUAAAUACGUGCCAGCCGCCGCGGUAAUAC